UACGUAGGGGGCAAGCGUUGUCCGGAAUCAUUGGGCGUAAAGCGCGUGUAGGCGGCUUGGUAAGUCCGCUCUGAAAGCCCGGGGCUCAACCCCGGGAGGCGGGUGGAUACUGUCAAGCUCGAGUCCGGAAGAGGCGAGUGGAAUUCCUGGUGUAGCGGUGAAAUGCGCAGAUAUCAGGAGGAACACCAAUGGCGAAGGCAGCUCGCUGGGACGUGACUGACGCUGAGACGCGAAAGCGUGGGGAGCAACAGG
rnacentral:rRNA from 1 species